rnacentral:rRNA from 1 species
CCUACGGGAGGCAGCAGUGAGGAAUAUUGGUCAAUGGGCGCGAGCCUGAACCAGCCAAGUCGCGUGAGGGAAGACGGUCCUAUGGAUUGUAAACCUCUUUUGUCGGGGAGCAAAAGACGCCACGCGUGGCGUUCCGAGAGUACCCGAAGAAAAAGCAUCGGCUAACUCCGUGCCAGCAGCCGCGGUAAUACGGAGGAUGCGAGCGUUAUCCGGAUUUAUUGGGGUUAAAGGGUGCGCAGGCGGAAGAUCAAGUCAGCGGUAAAAUUGAGAGGCUCAACCUCUUCGAGCCGUUGAAACUGGUUGUCUUGAGUGAGCGAGAAGUAUGCGGAAUGCGCGGUGUAGCAGUGAAAUGCAUAGAUAUCACGCAGAACUCCGAUUGCGAAGGCAGCAUACCGGCGCUCAACUGACGCUCAUGCACGAAAGUGUGGGUAUCGAACAGGAUUAGAUACCCCUGUAGUC